AUGAACUCCCCUUCACUUCAGAGAAUAUUUAGGCUUUUUAAAACUGGUCCAGAAACCAUGGAAACCACUGAAAGAUUCCACCGACAUCAACAGAGCUGUGAUAUUGGGUCAUCCCAUGGUACCAGGUCCAUCAAGGAAACACAAAGUGGUAUAAGAAGAUAAGAGGAGUUUCAGUGCUUCUGCGAGAACUGGAAAAGCUAUGUCUCUGUGCAAACUACAUGGUAUUGAAAAUGCUGAUGUUCACAUCUCUUUGGGUCUCUCAUCAUUGUAAUAUGUACACAAUGGGUUGCAUGUUCCCAAAAGAAAUAUGCUUUGGCAUAGAUAAUACUCCUUACUGAACUGUCUCUCAUGAUAGCAUUAUAUCCUACACUUUUAUGCUUCAACAGAUUGUCCUGAUUUGUGAGUUUGAGUGAAUCACUUGGAAAUAAAGGUGCAUAUAUGCUACA
rnacentral:lncRNA from 1 species